rnacentral:rRNA from 1 species
UAAGCGAAAUCUUAGGAAAGUAGCGAAGCACAUGAUGACGGCUUCCAGGAAAAGCUUCUGGCAAUGCAUAUGCGGCCCGUACCAAAACCGACACAGGUGGGCAGGGAGAGAAUCCCGAGGUGAGCGAGAGAACUGUUGCCAAGGAACUCGGCAAAAUGACUCCGUAAGUUAGCGAGAAGGAGUGCUUAAGCAAUUAAGCCGCAGUGAAGAGGCCAAGCGACUGUUUAACUAAAACACAGCUCUCUGCGAAGUCGCAAGACGAAGUAUAGGGGGUGACACCUGCCCGGUGCUGGAAGGUUAAGAGGAUCUGUUAAGAGCGAUCUGAAGCAGUGAUCCGAAGCCCCAGUGAACGGCGGCCGUAACAAUAACGGUCCUAAGGUAGCGAAAUUCCUUGUCAGGUAAGUUCUGACCCGCACGAAAGGUGUAACGAUUUGGGCGCUGUCUCGGCAGCAGACUCGGUGAAAUCUUAGUGCCUGUGAAAAUGCAGGUUACCCGCAACUAGACGGAAAGACCCCAUGGAGCUUUACUGCAGCCUGAUAUUGAAUUCUGGUCAUACAUGUACAGGAUAGGUGGGAGACAAAGAGACGUGCACGCCAGUGUACGAGGAGUCGACGUUGGGAUACCACUCUUGUGUGACCGGGGUUCUAACCUGGUAUCGAGAACAGGUACGGGGAGAGUGUCAGGUGGGCAGUUUGACUGGGGCGGUCGCCUCCCAAGAGUAACGGAGGCGCCCAAAGGUACGCUCAGAUUGGAUGGAAACCAAUCGUCGAGUGCAAUUGCAGAAGCGUGCUUGACUGUGAGACAGACAAGUCGAACAGGGACGAAAGUCGGGAAUAGUGAUCCGGCGGUGCCGAAUGGAAGGGCCGUCGCUCAACGGAUAAAAGCUACCCUGGGGAUAACAGGCUGAUCUCGCCCAAGAGUUCACAUCGACGGCGAGGUUUGGCACCUCGAUGUCGGCUCAUCGCAUCCUGGAGCUGGAUUCGGUUCCAAGGGUUGGGCCGUCCGCCCAUUAAAGCGGUACGCGAGCUGGGUUCAGAACGUCGUGAGACAGUUCGGUCCCUAUCUGUUGUGGGCGAAGGAGAUCUGCGGAGAGCUGUCCUCAGUACGAGAGGACCGGGAUGGACCUACCGCUGGUGCACCGGUUGUUCCGCCAGGGGCAUAGCCGGGUAGCUAAGUAGGGAAAGGAUAAGCGCUGAAAGCAUCUAAGCACGAAGCCUACUCCAAGAUGAGAUCUCCCAUUCGCAAGAAGUAAGACCCCUUAAAGACGAUAAGGUAGAUAGGCCAGGGAUGGAAGUGCAGUGAUGUACGGAGUUGACUGGUACUAAUCGGUCGAGGACUUAACC